ensembl:lncRNA
UAAUUUAGAAAUUUGAAGCAAAAACAAGAAUGACUUCAGUUUUGUGAAACUAUACAUAAACAUAUCUGCAUGAAACAGAAACAGCAGACGAGCUGAACGAGAUGCAGAUUCACUCUCUGCCAGCAGGUGGAGCUUAAAGCGUUUCCUUGGUUACCGCUGUAAACAAAGUACUUACGAACACCGCAGCAGGUGGAGCUUAACGCGUUUCCUUGGUUACCGCUGUAAACAAAGCACUUACGAACACCGCAGCAGGUGGAGCUUAACGCGUUUCCUUGGUUACCGCUGUAAACAAAGCACUUACAAACACCGCAGCAGGUGGAGCUUAACGCGUUUCCUUGGUUACCGCUGUAAAUGAAGCAGCGCUGCACUUAUGAACUUUAAUAUGCAUUAUACAGAGGCAAGAUGAAAAGAAAAAAUACCAUCUAAACUUUUCUAAAGACAGCGUAGAAAAGAUCCCGGGACCACCAUGGUCCUAAUCCAUCAAGGAGCAGUCAGAGUGGAGCCGGAGCCCGUGACAGCCAUUCAGGAGGGGGGCCAAAGGCUGACCACAGGACCCUGACCCCCCCUCACCAGCUCCGCCGCCGCCGGCACGACACGGACUCGUCCUCUGACGGCCACCGCUCCCCGGCACAGAGCUACCGGCGGCGCCAUGAUAGCAGCUCAGACGACUGAUGCCCCGCUGUCCACACCUCCUCACCCUGAGAAUGGAUCCAGAAGUGUGUGUGUGUGUGUGUGUGUGUGUGGCAGACUGAUAAGGAUUUCUGGGUGCUUUACACUUGUCCUGUAAAUGUAGAGUAAAACAAUGUUGAAUUUGGUGCGUACAGCACUCAUUCUGGACACAAAGUGCGACUGCAUUUCCUUCAGGAAAUCUGUUCAAAAUAUGUCUUUGGUCACAUUUUGUCAAAUUUUGGCUAUUAAAAUUGAUCAUCAAUAUUUUUGACAUAAUAUAUAAUUAUUAUAGCAUUUAGAAAAGGAUAGAAUGGAAAUUUGGAAUGACAAAAUAAAUUUGGGGG